AUACAGAGGGUGCGAGCGUUAAUCGGAAUUACUGGGCGUAAAGCGCGCGUAGGCGGCUACUUAAGUCAGAUGUGAAAUCCCCGGGCUCAACCUGGGAACUGCAUCUGAUACUGGGUAGCUAGAGUUUAGGAGAGGGAAGUAGAAUUUCAGGUGUAGCGGUGAAAUGUAUAGAGAUCUGAAGGAAUACCAGUGGCGAAGGCGGCUUCCUGGCCUAAAACUGACGCUGAGGUGCGAAAGCGUGGGUAGCAAACGGGAUUAGAAACCCCAGUAGUCC
rnacentral:rRNA from 1 species